UGAGGAAUAUUGGUCAAUGGACGCAAGUCUGAACCAGCCAUGCCGCGUGAAGGAUGAAGGCGUUCUGCGUUGUAAACUUCUUUUAUCUGGGAAGAAACCACCUUUUUCUAAGGGUGUUGACGGUACCAGAGGAAUAAGCACCGGCUAACUCCGUGCCAGCAGCCGCGGUAAUACGGAGGGUGCAAGCGUUAUCCGGAUUUACUGGGUUUAAAGGGUGUGUAGGCGGGCAUUUAAGUCUGGGGUGAAAUCUCCGAGCUCAACUCGGAAACUGCCUUGGAUACUAUUUGUCUUGAAUUAUGUUGAGGUUGGCGGAAUAUAACAUGUAGCGGUGAAAUGCAUAGAUAUGUUAUAGAACACCGAUUGCGAAGGCAGCUAACUAAGCAUAUAUUGACGCUGAGGCACGAAAGCGUGGGGAUCAAACAG
rnacentral:rRNA from 1 species